rnacentral:rRNA from 1 species
CCUACGGGAGGCAGCAGUGGGGAAUUUUGGACAAUGGGCGCAAGCCUGAUCCAGCCAUGCCGCGUGUGGGAAGAAGGCCUUCGGGUUGUAAACCACUUUUGUCAGGGAAGAAACGGUCUGAACUAAUACUUUGGACUAAUGACGGUACCUGAAGAAUAAGCACCGGCUAACUACGUGCCAGCAGCCGCGGUAAUACGUAGGGUGCAAGCGUUAAUCGGAAUUACUGGGCGUAAAGCGUGCGCAGGCGGCUUUGCAAGACAGAUGUGAAAUCCCCGGGCUCAACCUGGGAACUGCAUUUGUGACUGCAUGGCUAGAGUACGGUAGAGGGGGAUGGAAUUCCGCGUGUAGCAGUGAAAUGCGUAGAUAUGCGGAGGAACACCGAUGGCGAAGGCAAUCCCCUGGACCUGUACUGACGCUCAUGCACGAAAGCGUGGGGAGCAAACAGGAUUAGAUACCCUGGUAGUCCACGCCCUAAACGAUGUCAACUGGUUGUUGGGAGGGUUUCUUCUCAGUAACGAAGCUAACGCGUGAAGUUGACCGCCUGGGGAGUACGGCCGCAAGGUUGAAACUCAAAGGAUUGACGGCUGAGACGAGCGACGACGACGACGAGGGAGGAGG